rnacentral:rRNA from 1 species
UUAAGCGACUAAGCGUACACGGUGGAUGCCCUGGCAGUCAGAGGCGAUGAAGGACGUGCUAAUCUGCGAUAAGCGUCGGUAAGGUGAUAUGAACCGUUAUAACCGGCGAUUUCCGAAUGGGGAAACCCAGUGUGUUUCGACACACUAUCAUUAACUGAAUCCAUAGGUUAAUGAGGCGAACCGGGGGAACUGAAACAUCUAAGUACCCCGAGGAAAAGAAAUCAACCGAGAUUCCCCCAGUAGCGGCGAGCGAACGGGGAGCAGCCCAGAGCCUGAAUCAGUGUGUGUGUUAGUGGAAGCGUCUGGAAAGGCGCGCGAUACAGGGUGACAGCCCCGUACACAAAAAUGCACAUGCUGUGAGCUCGAUGAGUAGGGCGGGACACGUGGUAUCCUGUCUGAAUAUGGGGGGACCAUCCUCCAAGGCUAAAUACUCCUGACUGACCGAUAGUGAACCAGUACCGUGAGGGAAAGGCGAAAAGAACCCCGGCGAGGGGAGUGAAAAAGAACCUGAAACCGUGUACGUACAAGCAGUGGGAGCACGCUUCGGCGUGUGACUGCGUACCUUUUGUAUAAUGGGUCAGCGACUUAUAUUCUGUAGCAAGGUUAACCGAAUAGGGGAGCCGAAGGGAAACCGAGUCUUAACUGGGCGUUAAGUUGCAGGGUAUAGACCCGAAACCCGGUGAUCUAGCCAUGGGCAGGUUGAAGGUUGGGUAACACUAACUGGAGGACCGAACCGACUAAUGUUGAAAAAUUAGCGGAUGACUUGUGGCUGGGGGUGAAAGGCCAAUCAAACCGGGAGAUAGCUGGUUCUCCCCGAAAGCUAUUUAGGUAGCGCCUCGUGAAUUCAUCUCCGGGGGUAGAGCACUGUUUCGGCAAGGGGGUCAUCCCGACUUACCAACCCGAUGCAAACUGCGAAUACCGGAGAAUGUUAUCACGGGAGACACACGGCGGGUGCUAACGUCCGUCGUGAAGAGGGAAACAACCCAGACCGCCAGCUAAGGUCCCAAAGUCAUGGUUAAGUGGGAAACGAUGUGGGAAGGCCCAGACAGCCAGGAUGUUGGCUUAGAAGCAGCCAUCAUUUAAAGAAAGCGUAAUAGCUCACUGGUCGAGUCGGCCUGCGCGGAAGAUGUAACGGGGCUAAACCAUGCACCGAAGCUGCGGCAGCGACGCUGAUGCGUUGUUGGGUAGGGGAGCGUUCUGUAAGCCUGUGAAGGUGUGCUGUGAGGCAUGCUGGAGGUAUCAGAAGUGCGAAUGCUGACAUAAGUAACGAUAAAGCGGGUGAAAAGCCCGCUCGCCGGAAGACCAAGGGUUCCUGUCCAACGUUAAUCGGGGCAGGGUGAGUCGACCCCUAAGGCGAGGCCGAAAGGCGUAGUCGAUGGGAAACAGGUUAAUAUUCCUGUACUUGGUGUUACUGCGAAGGGGGGACGGAGAAGGCUAUGUUGGCCGGGCGACGGUUGUCCCGGUUUAAGCGUGUAGGCUGGUUUUCCAGGCAAAUCCGGAAAAUCAAGGCUGAGGCGUGAUGACGAGGCACUACGGUGCUGAAGCAACAAAUGCCCUGCUUCCAGGAAAAGCCUCUAAGCAUCAGGUAACAUCAAAUCGUACCCCAAACCGACACAGGUGGUCAGGUAGAGAAUACCAAGGCGCUUGAGAGAACUCGGGUGAAGGAACUAGGCAAAAUGGUGCCGUAACUUCGGGAGAAGGCACGCUGAUAUGUAGGUGAAGCGACUUGCUCGUGGAGCUGAAAUCAGUCGAAGAUACCAGCUGGCUGCAACUGUUUAUUAAAAACACAGCACUGUGCAAACACGAAAGUGGACGUAUACGGUGUGACGCCUGCCCGGUGCCGGAAGGUUAAUUGAUGGGGUUAGCGCAAGCGAAGCUCUUGAUCGAAGCCCCGGUAAACGGCGGCCGUAACUAUAACGGUCCUAAGGUAGCGAAAUUCCUUGUCGGGUAAGUUCCGACCUG